UGUUUGGUUAGGUCUCCCCAUAGCUAAAGUUCUCUCGCCUUGCUUCAAAACUAUAGGGCGUGCGCUGCGGCUUUGACCUAACAGCCUCCGUUUGCUGGAAUUAAUCGGAAUAGGUGAGAACAAAGUGACGAACGGAUGCCUAAUGCGUGGGAAUCUGUUGAAUAGUUUGGGCCAAAUCCUGAAGAAAGUUCAAAGCGUUGUUUGAUGAGCCUGCGUAGCAUUAGUUAGUUGGUCAGGUAAAGGUUGGCCAAGCCAAUGAUGCUUAGCUGGUCUUUUUGAAUGAUUAGCCACACUAGGACUGAGACACAACCCAGACUCCCAUGGGGGGCAACAGAGGGGAAUCUUGGACAAUGGGCGAAAGCCCAAUCCAGCAAUCUCGCGUGAGUGAGAAGGUCAAUGCUCCUUGUAAAGUUCUUACGUCGAGUGCGCGAUCACGGCAGAACUAGAGGAAGAAGUCCCGGUAACUGCGUGCCAGCAGCCGCGCUAAGACAAGGGGUGGGGGGCAAGUACUCUUUGGAAUGACUGGACGUAAAGGGCGUGUAGGCGGUGAAUCGGGUUGAAAGUGAAACUGUGAAAGUCAUAAAAAGUGGUGGAAUGCUCUCGAAACCAAUUCACUCAAGUGAGACAGAGGAGAGUGGAUGGUCUUCUAUUCGUCCCUAUAAACAUUGUGAGGGACUAAAGUUUUUUCUGAAAGGAAAAGAGAUUAAAGUUGAAACAGACGCUCACUUCUAUGAACACGUGGACACACAACCGGU
rfam:Triticum aestivum genome assembly, contig: Triticum_aestivum_CS42_TGACv1_scaffold_290765_4AL